CACCAUCAAUGCCCGACUUGUUUUUUUUUUUUUAUUAAACAGUGUCUUACUCUGUAGCUCAGGUUGACAUAGAGUUCCUUUUGAUGCCUCAGACUUGUAGUGGCCCUCCUUCCUCAGCCUCAUAGUGCUGUCUUUCCAGGCAUCAGCCUCUGUACAUGGCUGCUUCCUGUCCAUUUGUUGUUUGUGUCUGCAGUUUUGCUUUGGGGUUGCUGGAUUAAAUCGGAUUAAAUGAUGUCCAAGCCAUUGGUGGUAUUGCUCAAGCUAUCAGUGUUGUAGCCAAAGCUAUUGGUGCUGUGUCCAAGUUAUCAGUGUUGUAGCUCAAGCCACCAUUCCAGAUCUCCCUUGUAUCAAUGGAUUAUUAAUUUGUUCUUUCAGGACUAUUUUGACACCUAACUUGGCAGAAAGCAUGGUCCCAUGGAUCCUGGUUAUGAAGAGAAGUGAUUCCCUUUGAGGCAAGGAGCACGUAAAGACAAGGAGGUUAUUGAAGACUGAAAGAGCCGAGGCCAGAACAUACACAACCGUGGCUGCCCAUUCUCCGUGCUUUUCCCACCGGGCCUGCACUGUCUAUAAACCCGUCCAUGGAAUAGCCCCAUUUGUAUUUUUCUGUGUCACUACAGACUGAAUUCUAGAAAUGCUUUUGUAAGAAUUUUGUUUACAAGUGGAACAGUACUGAGACAGAAAUAUGACGAUCCCUGGGGACUGGUGCGGCUAAAUAUCAGUUUGAAAGAAUAGUUUAGACAAAGAAUAAGAGAGGAAAUGCUAGUGACAUGAGCUCAUUGUCUACUCACAGAAGAAGUUACAUUUAAGAUUCAGUAACUUUUCCUUUUACUCAGCCUGGCACUGGAGAUUUGCCCUUCAGCAUCACACAGAUCUCCACCCUGUGGGGAUGUCUCUGACAGGAAAUUUUAUGUUUGUUACUUCUCUCAGAGAAAGUUCUAUUUCAUGUUUCAAGUCUACAAAUACAAGUUUCUUCCCAAUCAUAUCUUCAUUGUGUCUCAUGACUCCUGACAUGGGUAAUAGUAGCUCAUUUCACAGAAAUGGUUUCCACAGCUCUCUGCCACAAUCUGAUUCUUUCUUCUUCUUGUCUGUUUGCUCCUUGAGGCAGCCUCACUAUGUAAUCCACAGAGAUCUGAACUCUGUGUUCCUCCUGUCCUGCCUCACAAAUGCUAGGGUGACAGACCUGUACCACCACACCCAGCGUUCUCUUUUAAUGUGGCAGAGUCAUCUGUCCGUUUUUCACAAAAAGAGCAGUUGGUUUUUUCUGCUCUUUCCAAGGAUGUUGUAUUUAAAGGGUCUCUUCUUCCCAACUAUAUGACUUCAGGGAAUCAACAUUGAUAGUGGGAAAUAAAAUAACUACACCAAGUGAUAAAAAUCCUCUCCUAAAGUUGAUAUUAAUAUCACAGUAUUUUAUUAGCUCCCGUGUUUGCAAAGAUAUCUCUCUCUCUAUAUAUAUAUAUAUCUAUAUCUAUAUCAAUUAUAAUUAUAUUAGAGAAAUUUCCCAUAGUCUCAAUAAGCAUAUCCUAUGUAGAAUAAAAGUUCUUUUUCAUAAUGGAUUUUGCUUGGCUCCAAAAGUCAUCUUAAUCCCAAAUAUUACUACUAAUCAGAGAAAAACUAGCAUUUUCAUUAAUGUAUCCCAUUGUUCAUGCUAAGAUUUUUUUCCAUAGAAAAUUCUGCUGAGUACCCAUUUUUAGCAUGUUAGUACCGAUGAACACGAUAGUUACAUCCAGGACCUCAACAUGGGACAAAGGGGAACAUCCAUUACACAGCAAAUUGAAAAUGUCCAGAUAGAGUAGACCAGGAGAAGAAAUGAGACUGACAAUGCAUUGGGGAUUUGCACGAGAAUGAGAGGUAAGCUGCCAAAGGGGACCAUUGCUGGAGCACAGCUACUCUUCCCUUCUUUUGGGGGGCUGUGUGUCAUUACUUCCUUCUCCAGCAUUCUUACUGGUUUACUUUGUCCUCAGAGGUCUGCAUUGUCACUAGUUGCUUAGCAUUAACACAUUGAGUUAUAAGGCUAAAUUGUAUGUUGUGAGGUUAUGCUAAAGUUGUAAGGCCCCUCUAAAAUAAAUGAGCAUUAGAAUAAUAAAUACAUUUGAAGGCAAAAAA